rnacentral:rRNA from 1 species
GUACGUGAAACCGUUCAGGGGUAAACGGGAGAAAUCCAGAAUUCGAAAGGGAUCGAUAUUCAACUGCACCCGGCAAAUCCAGUCUGCCUGCCGUAAGAUGGAUGCCAGUACGCCAAUGGUGAUUAAUUUCGCUUGCGGUGAUGCGACUGGCCGAGACUCUGCGGAUUUGGCGUGAAAUCUUGAGACCGGGGCAGCGCUUUUCGUCCCUAGUAGAAACGUCGCGACCCGUUGGGUGCCGGUCUAAGGCCUGGGCAGGAGCCCGUGCAUCACGGCGGUGCUAAGCCACCGUGGUCGCACGGACGUCCGGUGACCCGGCCGGCAGUUCGACGGUAGGACCAGAGGGGUCGACACGCUGAUUGGAAAGCAUUAUGGGAUGUGAAGCGUCCGGCCCUGCUGCGGCGAGCGCGAGCUCAGUCUCGCCGUCGUAUGUAGGUGUCCUCGGACCGUGUCGAUACCCCUGUCCGCGGCGCACUCAUUCGGAUAU